AAUGAACGCUGGCGGCGCGCCUAAUACAUGCAAGUCGAGCGAGAAGACGUAGCAAUACGUUUGUAAAGCGGCGAACGGGUGAGGAAUACAUGGGUAACCUACCCUCGAGUGGGGAAUAACUAGCCGAAAGGUUAGCUAAUACCGCGUACGCUCCUUGGACUUCGGUUCAGGGAGGAAAGCGAUACCGUGGGUAUCGCGCUCUUGGUUGGGCUCAUGUCCUAUCAGCUUGUUGGUGAGGAACGGCUCACCAAGGCUUCGACGGGUAGCUGGUCUGAGAGGACGAUCAGCCACACUGGCACUGCGACACGGGCCAGACUCCUACGGGAGGCAGCAGUAAGGAAUAUUGCGCAAUGGGCGAAAGCCUGACGCAGCGACGCCGCGUGUGGGAUGACGGCCU
rnacentral:rRNA from 1 species